UUGUGUUUUCUUUUUCCUGAGAAUGUACAUCAAGUUGGAGGAACUGUACAUGCAUGUGGCCUCCUGAACUUAGGAAAAGAGAAGAAUUCAACAGAAGGUUAUUCUGAUGCUGUUCCCUGAAAGAUACUGCUUUGGCAUGGGAUUUCUCUUGCCACCACCCAGCACAAUGGGUAGACACCACCAUCCUCUGAGGAGACGAAGCUGAAUUCUUUUAUUAACUGAAGUUCCACAUAUAAUCCCAGUCUGUAGAACAGAUAAAAGCAGAUGUGGCCCUUAUAACACCUGCAUGAAACACGAGG